UACAGAGGGUGCGAGCGUUAUUCGGAAUUACUGGGCGUAAAGCGCGCGUAGGCGGCCCUGCAAGUCGGGGGUGAAAGCCCGAGGCUCAACCUCGGAACUGCCUUCGAUACUGCGGGUCUCGAGUCCGGGAGAGGUGAGUGGAAUUCCUAGUGUAGAGGUGAAAUUCGUAGAUAUUAGGAAGAACACCAGUGGCGAAGGCGGCGCACUGGCCCGGUACUGACGCUGAGGCGCGAAAGCGUGGGGAGCAAACAGG
rnacentral:rRNA from 1 species